CUUGAAUUAUUGUUCUCCAAACUACUACAGCCUAUGUACUAAUCAUGGCGAACAACGCCCCAGUGGGAAACUGUCUCAAAGACAUGGCCCACAUUGUGAAAUUUGAUGGCACCAACCACUUCGACUGGAAAUACGAGUUCCUAGGCAUUCUAGAACAGCAUGGUCUCAAGCACUUGAUUGAACCAACUGCUGGCGGUGACAUCUUAGCCCGACCCAAUGUGGCCAGAAACGCAGACAAUGCAAUCACCAAUCAGGCAGCCAUCGACCUGUGGAAUCAAAAAGACAUCAUCAUUCGAAAUUCAAUUUUG